GGAACUGUGCCUGAAAUAUAGGGCUACUUUGAUAGAGUGGAUAAUGUGGGUUAGACUCCCUCCAGCUCCU
rnacentral:tRNA from 1 species